AACGAACGCUGGCGGCAUGCCUAACACAUGCAAGUCGAACGAGACCUUCGGGUCUAGUGGCGCACGGGUGCGUAACGCGUGGGAACCUGCCCUUAGGUUCGGAAUAACUCCCCGAAAGGGGUGCUAAUACCGGAUAAUGUCUUCGGACCAAAGAUUUAUCGCCUUUGGAUGGGCCCGCGUUGGAUUAGCUAGUUGGUAGGGUAAAAGCCUACCAAGGCGACGAUCCAUAGCUGGUCUGAGAGGAUGAUCAGCCACACUGGGACUGAGACACGGCCCAGACUCCUACGGGAGGCAGCAGUGGAGAAUAUUGGACAAUGGGCGAAAGCCUGAUCCAGCAAUGCCGCGUGAGUGAUGAAGGCCUUAGGGUUGUAAAGCUCUUUUACCCGGGAUGAUAACUACAGUACCGGGAGAAUAAGCUCCGGCUAACUCCGUG
rnacentral:rRNA from 1 species